rnacentral:rRNA from 1 species
AACGAACGCUGGCGGCAGGCCUAACACAUGCGAGUCGAGCGGACAUCUUCGGAUGUUAGCGGCGGACGGGUGAGUAACGCGUGGGAACGUGCCCUUUGCUUCGGAAUAGCCUCGGGAAAAUGGGAGUAAUACCGGAUGUACCCUUUGGGGGAAAGAUUUAUCGGCAAAGGAUCGGCCCGCGUUGGAUUAGGUAGUUGGUGGGGUACUGGCCUACCAAGCGGACGAUCCAUAGCUGGUUUGAGAGGAUGAUCAGCCACACUGGGACUGAGACACGGCCCAGACUCCGACGGGAGGCAGCAGUGUGGAAUCUUAGACAAUGGGUGAAACCCUGAUCUAGCCAUGCCGCGUGAGCGAUGAAGGCCUUAGGGUUGUAAAGCUCUUUCACCGGGGAAUAUAAUGACGGUACCCGUAGAAGAAGCCCCGGCUAACUCCGUG